GGGAGAAGGCAAACAUUGACUUCUGGGAGAAAUGGAGCUUCAGGUGACUGAGGAUGCUCCUGGUGAUGGAGUGACAGUAACGAUCCUUCUCUAAAUGAGAUGACGUGGCAGCAAUUGUAUCCCGAGAUGUUUUGAGAGCAGAUCCAGAUGGUGUGAUUUCCCUUUUUACCCUGAACCUGGCCAAUACAGAGGGAUGGAUGAGAAUCAGCUGGCAGACAACCUGGCAAGAGGGGGUACGAAGUGCAAGGUGCGAGGAGAUGGCCAAUAGGAGCAACGCAAGAUGCAGUUGCAACUCGUGACUGCACUGUUACAGCCUGACUGUGUCCACCUUUCCUAAAGAGCUUGGCUAUUUUUGAGUAUUUCCAGAAUGCACUGUCUCUCAGUUUCUCAUCUAAUGAACUUUCCAGACAGUGUCUUCCAACACAACACCUCACACAGCAUGAUGUACCCUGAUUUUUGGUGCUCUUACCCUCAGGCCUUUCUGACCUGCUAGUAAUCUUGACCAGACAAGCAUUUGAAUGAAAAUGAGAUGAAUGAUGGACAGCACAAAUGAAUGAAGUCUGCUGAGAUGAUGAUCAACAAAAACCUCCCAUGUGAGGGAUGUUAAUACUGCCUAGCUUAGAUGCUCUGAAUUGCCUCAAUGCAUAUCUGAACUAUAAUACCCUCAAGCAGAUUAGGUGAUUAUCAUCCCUCAGUGAGCAUUUCCAAGAGCCACUGGUAGAACAUUUUGUUUCAGAGAAAAACCUCCAAUCCAUACCUUUUUCCUGAUGUCCCACUUCAGUUUACCUUAGAAAAAUGGGUAUUUUAGAUCACAGUGUUGAUUUACUUUUGAUGAACACUACCUGGUAGGUUGGAUUGAUGUAUAAAGAGGAAUUUGCUGCAGUGGGGCUUAACAGGGUGGUGUAGGGAAAUCUGUUUAUUAAAUUUAUAGUGGUAGAAACACAUGCUGUAGCUACUGGCUUUUUCUGACUAUAAAUGAUGUGUUUAUGUCACUUUCACUAUUGAGGGAACCUGAGCAACAGGAACCUCUAUUUAUCUGCAGUUUUUGCUUCCUUCAUGCAUCACUGAUAGUGGAAAUAAAACACAGGAAAAAAAACCCCAAAAGAUGAAAACUCUGCCAUAAGCUUCAGUGGAGCUUUAAAGUACUGCAAGAUGUUUCUGCAGGGAUUUCCCAUCUGUCUUUACCUACCAGAGUUACAGGAGCUUAUCCACCCACAGCAGCCACAAAGAUAGGAAUAUUUUCAAGAUGUAAAUGUUUCCCUGAGCGUUAGACCCUGAUAGAGAUGUCCUUUAUUCAGAGAUUUUAGAAUUUGCGAUGUUUGGUCUCCUACCUUACAAUCCCAGUAAACUGUUUCCAUUUUCUGUGUGUUGUUUCCUCUUCUCAUCAAUAAAAAGGAAUGAGUGGUAUUCAUGACCGUUUAAGAAUGGAUGCAAUGUGCUAUAAAUGAUACAAUUCUAAACAGUAAAUUUUAUGCCAAAUAAAUUCUUCUUUCUUCUCCUCCA